UCCCUGAGACCUUAACCUGUGU
rnacentral:miRNA from 1 species